rnacentral:miRNA from 1 species
UAUGUAUAUAUAUAUAUAUGUGUGUGUGUGUGUGUGUAUGUAUAUACACACACACAUAUACAUGUACAUGCAUACAUACAUAUACA